GCAUCGGUGGUUCGGUGAACUUGGUGGUAGACUGCUCGCCUGCCACGCGGGCGACCAGGGUUCGAUUCCCGAGCCGAUGCA